rnacentral:tRNA from 1 species
GCCUAGUUAGCUUAGUUGGUAGUGCGACUGCCUUGUAAGCGCUAGGCCGCGGGUUCGAUUCCCGCCCGGGGCG